rnacentral:rRNA from 1 species
CGGGUGAGUAACGCGUGAGGAACCUGCCUCAAAGAGGGGGACAACGGUUGGAAACGACUGCUAAUACCGCAUAAGCCCACGGCUCGGCAUCGAGCAGAGGGAAAAGGAGUGAUCCGCUUUGAGAUGGCCUCGCGUCCGAUUAGCUAGUUGGUGAGGUAACGGCCCACCAAGGUGACGAUCGGUAGCCGGACUGAGAGGUUGAACGGCCACAUUGGGACUGAGACACAGCCCAG